AGUGAACGCUGGCGGUAGGCCUAACACAUGCAAGUCGAACGGCAGCACAGUAAGAGCUUGCUCUUACGGUUGGCGAGUGGCGGACGGGUGAGGAAUACAUCGGAAUCUACUUUUUCGUGGGGGACAACGUAGGGAAACUUACGCUAAUACCGCAUACGACCUACGGGUGAAAGCAGGGGAUCUUCGGACCUUGCGCGAUUGAAUGAGCCGAUGUCGGAUUAGCUAGUUGGCGGGGUAAAGGCCCACCAAGGCGACGAUCCGUAGCUGGUCUGAGAGGAUGAUCGGCCACACUGGAACUGAGACACGGUCCAGACUCCUACGGGAGGCAGCAGUGGGGAAUAUUGGGCAAUGGGCGAAAGCCUGAUCCAGCCAUACCGCGUGGGUGAAGAAGGCCUUCGGGUUGUAAAGCCCUUUUGUUGGGAAAGAAAAGCAGCAGGUUAAUACCCCGCUGUUCUGACGGUACCCAAUGAAUAAGCACCGGCUAACUUCGUG
rnacentral:rRNA from 1 species